AAAAGGGACAGCUAUCCUCCUGCCGAGGAAUACUUAAGCUAUGCAGAAAAGUCCCAUGUUAAUCUCGUGGAAGCUUUUAGGAGCAUGCGGGUUGAUGAAGAUGAUGCUAUGCCACUUGAAAAUGGAGAUUCUGGUCAUGAGGUGGUGGGAGAAGAUGAGGGUGAAGAAGCCAUCGAGGAAGGUGAAGAAGCCGUCGAAGUAUAUGCUGAUGAUUCUACCGAUGGUGGCGUCAUUGUUAAUGGGAAUGAAAGUGACGAACAGUGGGGUACG
rnacentral:misc_RNA from 1 species